GGAGACCUUAGUGCAACAACAACUUUUUCCUCCUAUUCUGGUCCACAAGAAAUGCUACACCUUCUCUUUUGAACAAGCUAAAGAUCAUAGACACUCGUUUAUAAGAAAUGAGAAUCACACACCCAAUGCGUUACAAGGCUUGAAACAUCGUAACUUUCAAAUGGGUAUUGAAUAUUUCAAUUAGCAAUCAAAAAUUAAGGUCCCAACAACCAGAUGAUUGCAUAUCAACAUGGAAAACAAGCACAAAAUUUGAUGAUAUAAUAUAAGAGAAGUGAAGAGACCUGGUCUGUCGUGAAAGAGAUUAGAAAAAGGCUGCAUGGAUUGAAUAAAGCGAUCUCCAA
rnacentral:misc_RNA from 1 species